rnacentral:rRNA from 1 species
UACGUAGGGUGCGAGCGUUAAUCGGAAUUACUGGGCGUAAAGCGUGCGCAGGCGGUUUUGUAAGCCAGAUGUGAAAUCCCCGGGCUUAACCUGGGAAUGGCAUUUGGGACUGCAAGGCUGGAGUGCGGCAGAGGAGACUGGAAUUCCUGGUGUGGCAGUGAAAUGCGUAGAUAUCAGGAGGAAUACCGAUGGCGAAGGCAGGUCUCUGGGCUGACACUGACGCUCAUGCACGAAAGCGUGGGGAGCAAACAGG